UACGAAGGGGGCUAGCGUUGCUCGGAAUCACUGGGCGUAAAGGGUGCGUAGGCGGGUCUUUAAGUCAGGGGUGAAAUCCUGGAGCUCAACUCCAGAACUGCCUUUGAUACUGAAGAUCUUGAGUUCGGGAGAGGUGAGUGGAACUGCGAGUGUAGAGGUGAAAUUCGUAGAUAUUCGCAAGAACACCAGUGGCGAAGGCGACACGCUGGGCCAUACCUGACGCUAAAGCGCGACAGCAUGGGGAGCAAACGGG
rnacentral:rRNA from 1 species